UACAGAGGUCUCAAGCGUUGUUCGGAUUCAUUGGGCGUAAAGGGUGCGUAGGUGGCGCCGUAAGUCGGGUGUGAAAUUUCGGAGCUUAACUCCGAAACUGCAUUCGAUACUGCGGUGCUUGAGGACUGGAGAGGAGACUGGAAUUCAUGGUGUAGCAGUGAAAUGCGUAGAUAUCGUAAGGAAGACCAGUGGCGAAGGCGGCUACCUGGACAAUUGCUGACGCUCAGGCACGAAAGCGUGGGGAGCAAAAAGGG
rnacentral:rRNA from 1 species